rnacentral:rRNA from 1 species
AACGAACGCUGGCGGUAUGCUUAACACAUGCAAGUCGAACGAGCAAAAUUGGGGCUUGCUCCAAUUUUAGUGAGUGGCAAACGGGUGAGUAACACGUGGGAAUCCACCUAUCAGUACGGAACAACAUUUGGAAACAGAUGCUAAUACCGUAUAUUCUCCAAGGAGGAAAGAUUUAUCGCUGAUAGAUGAGCCCGCGCAAGAUUAGGUAGUUGGUAGGGUAAUGGCCUACCAAGCCGACGAUCUUUAGCUGGUCUGAGAGGAUGAUCAGCCACACUGGGACUGAGACACGGCCCAGACUCCUACGGGAGGCAGCAGUGGGGAAUAUUGGACAAUGGGCGAAAGCCUGAUUCAGCAAUACCGCGUGAAUGAUGAAGGCCUUAGGGUUGUAAAGUUCUUUUAGUUGGAAAGAUAAUGACGGUACCAACAGAAAAAGCCCCGGCUAACUCCGUGCCAGCCGCCGCCGUAA